rnacentral:tRNA from 1 species
GGGUUUGUAGCUCAGUAGGUUAGAGCGCGCCCCUGAUAAGGGCGAGGUCGGUGGUUCAAAUCCACCCAGACCCACCA